UCUUAUCCAGAGUGGCUGAGGGAAGGGCCCUAUGACGCCACAGCAACCGGUCCACCGUUUUGGUGGACGCUGGUGCUAACUCCUGCCGAGCGCCCGUUCGGGCGAGACCGGGGAAAUCCCCCGGAUCGCCGAUCGCGGUUCAUCGGACAGAUAAGA
rnacentral:ncRNA from 20 species